rnacentral:lncRNA from 1 species
AGUGUUUUCACAGCAGGACUGGGGUGAGAACUCCCAAACCGUAAGCCUUUCUUUGUCUAACUUAUUCUGCGGUUCUUGAAAUGGGGGUCCAUGUGUUCCCUUGGCUUGAUUAUGGACACAAGCACACAAAAGCCACAGGAUACAACUUGGGGCAUCUCCCUCAAUUUUCCCCUAUGGUCAGUACUAGGACAACUUUCAUAUCACGCAACCACUGAGUCCCCAGCUUCCAGAACAGUGCCUGGCUGAGUAGGAAUUAAUAAGUGAAUGGGGAAAAAAAGAAUGCUUAAAAAAUAAAACAUGUAUUUCCUCAAAAACAAGCUUGUAAUGGACUCUUCCACUAUUAGAAAUAUGUCAGUGGAAAUAUCUGAGAAACUAUGGUGUUGCUAAAAUCAGUGGUUUCAAAGAAGAAUGAUAUCAUAUCCUUGUGCUUCAUUUUUCUCUCUAUUCAUUUACAAAGUUCAAUGUAUUUUGAAAUUGAAUGAGUAAGAAAAAUGUAUCUUUUGUUCCUCUUUCUGAAGAACAAUUUGUCCUUCUCACAGUUCUACCAACUGCCGACAUUUACAACCAGCAUAAGCUUUCUGUUACUUCUCUGAACCCCCAGACCAGGUUAAGUCUUCCAGGUGUACGUCACACUGUAUGCUAUCCUUCUUUGUGACAUUCCGCACACUUGAUCCAUGCCUGUCUUUGCAGGUAGACUAUAAGUUUUUUCAUGAGGUGUGGUCCCUGUUGGCUCAUUCACUGCCUGUCUAGGAUUUGCAACUGGAUAGGUACUUCAUAAAUAGGGUUUAAUUGAAGCAAAAUGAGUUUCCUGAGCUAAUCAUAGUAGUGAUUGGAGGUACCUGAGCUCCAAUCAGCAAGCUCAGCCUGCUGAGGGAUAUCAGCAGCUUGCUUCACAUCAGAUUCUAGACAGUGGAUCCUGCUGCUCAGCCUCCAGGAGCAGAAGCAUCUGUGCCACUGGCUUUUCAGAGCCAAUAGGCACUCACUGUGACUCAGGUUAUUUGUCCAUCUCUUCCUGUCAUGGUCACUGGUUCCCAGAAUCACCCUAUUCCCUUGUUGAGAAUUAUCGAUGCACCAAGGAAAUCGAAAGAAAGGUCUUGUUUGAAGCAGUAUAAGCACUCAGGGCCAGAAGAAGAUGUAUUCAAGAGGCAUAGAAUUGCCUGAGUUUGGAGAGGGGAGGGACAUGAUGGGAAUAGAGGACAGAGUGUGGUAAACUCUAGAUGAUUCCAUGUUUUCUAGCUCCGGUGACUGGUUGAAUGGCAACUCUAUUAACCAAGAGUGGUGAAUGGUAACAC